AGGAAAUAUUGGAGGAUAAUAUUGAUGGUGAAGUGGGGGAGUGGAGUGAGGAAGAAAGUGAAAAGAAUAAAAAGAAUGGUGAAGUUGAAAAGAAAGAAAGUGUGGAAAUUGAGAAAAAUAAGAGUGAUGAAGUAAUGGGGGAGGAAGUGAAAAAGAAAAGAGCGAGAAGUUCUAGAGUUGCUAAAGGAAAGGAGGUAGUGAG
rnacentral:lncRNA from 1 species